GACGAACGCUGGCGGCGUGCCUAAUACAUGCAAGUUGAGCGCUGAAGGUUGGUACUUGUACCGACUGGAUGAGCAGCGAACGGGUGAGUAACGCGUGGGGAAUCUGCCUUUGAGCGGGGGACAACAUUUGGAAACGAAUGCUAAUACCGCAUAAAAACUUUAAACACAAGUUUUAAGUUUGAAAGAUGCAAUUGCAUCACUCAAAGAUGAUCCCGCGUUGUAUUAGCUAGUUGGUGAGGUAAAGGCUCACCAAGGCGAUGAUACAUAGCCGACCUGAGAGGGUGAUCGGCCACAUUGGGACUGAGACACGGCCCAAACUCCUACGGGAGGCAGCAGUAGGGAAACUUCGGCAAUGGACGAAAGGCUGAACGAGCAACGCCGCGUGAGUGAAGAAGGGUUUCGGAUCGUAAAACUCUGUUGGUAGAGAAGAAAGUUGGUGAGAGUGGAAAGCUCAUCAAGUGACGGUAACUACCCAGAAAGGGACGGCUAACUACGUG
rnacentral:rRNA from 1 species